rnacentral:lncRNA from 1 species
CCUCCAUCAGGUGAAGUUGGAGGAAAGGGAAACGAAGGACCCCAGUGCUGAGUUUGGUGUGUCUUCCACAUUCUGAAGUCACCUGCCAGUUGUGCCACCUUGGAGACACCUUCUCUGGGUCCAAUUCCCCAUCCUUCUGCUGAGAAUGAAGAGGUCCAGAUGGGUGACUGUUUCUGUGAUUGAUCAGAUCUCUUCCCAGGGAGAAAAUACACUUUGGCUUGUGACCUUGACGGUUAUUCCCAUCUCGGCAGGUGAUUAUGGUCUGCAACAUGCUCCCCCGGGAGGAAUUACAUGGCUGCGGGGAUGCUCAGAGCAAGAAAGACUCCCCAAAGGUAAAGGAGCAUCUUUGGAGAGCUCAUUUCAUGACUAUGGCUUCUGGAGAUC